AAGAUAGAGGCGCGGCUGACAAGAGUAGCUCCCGGAGACACGGCAGACACCGUGGGGGCGAAAGGGGAUGCCGCCGAGGGACUGAGAAGGCUGUCUGGCCUUUCAGCCGCCGGGCCGUCGGAGAAUAUCCGCCGGACUGUCACUGUUGUGGAGAGCUAUCG
rnacentral:ncRNA from 1 species